CUUGUGACGGCGUACCUUUUGUAUAAUGGGUCAGCGACUUAGUUUAUCUAGCAAGCUUAAGCCGUUAGGUGUAGGCGUAGCGAAAGCGAGUCUGAAUAGGGCGACUAUAGUUAGAUGAAUUAGACCCGAAACCGAGUGAUCUAGCCAUGGCCAGGUUGAAAGCGGAGUAAAAUCCGCUGAAGGACCGAACCCACUACUGUUGAAAAAGUAGGGGAUGAGCUGUGGUUAGGGGUGAAAGGCCAAUCAAACUCGGAUAUAGCUGGUUCUCCGCGAAAUCUAUUUAGGUAGAGCGUUAUAGCGGUUACCAUCGGAGGUAGAGCACUGAAUGAGCUAGGGGGUCCCACAGACUUACCAAACUCAAUCAAACUCCGAAUGCCGAUGAGUAUAGCAUAGCAGACAGACUAUGGGUGCUAAGGUCCAUAGUCGAGAGGGAAAAAGCCCAGACCGCCAUCUAAGGUCCCUAAAUCAUGACUAAGUGUUAAAGGAUGUGAGAAGACCAAAACAACUAGGAUGUUGGCUUAGAAGCAGCCAUCAUUUAAAGAAAGCGUAAUAGCUCACUAGUCUAAAUAAGUUUUCUUGCGCCAACAAUGUAACGGGGCUCAAGUCAUGUACCGAAGAUGCGGAUUCACACAUUUGGUGUGAGUGGUAGCGGAGCGUUCCGUAAGCCUGUGAAGGUGAACCGUAAGGUUUGCUGGAGGUAUCGGAAGUGAGAAUGCUGACAUAAGUAGCGAUAAAGAAUGCGAGAAACAUUCUCGCCGAAAGUCCAAGGGUUCUUGCGUAAAGUUAAUCUGCGCAAGGUUAGUCGGCCCCUAAGGUGAGGCUGAAAGGCGUAAUCGAUGGGAAUCAGGUUAAUAUUCCUGAACCUGAAGGAUGUGACGAAAGUAGUAAGUUGUACAGUCUUAUUGGAUUGAUUGUGCAGCGAAUAUUUUCCAGGAAAUAACACCUUCAUUAUAGACCGUACCCGAAACCGACACAGGUGGACAGGUAGAGUAUACCAAGGCGCUUGAGAGAACGAUGCUGAAGGAACUAGGCAAAUUGCAUCUGUA
rnacentral:rRNA from 1 species